rnacentral:rRNA from 1 species
UGGCUCUCACGGGUAACGGGGAAUUAGGGUUCGAUUCCGGAGAAGGAGCCUGAGAAACGGCUACUACAUCUAAGGAAGGCAGCAGGCGCGUAAAUUACCCAAUCCUGACUCAGGGAGGUAGUGACAAGAUAUAACGACGCGACUAAAAAUCGCGAUUGUAGUGAGGGUAUUCCAAACCGAACCACUAGUACGAUUGGAGGGCAAGUCUGGUGCCAGCAGCCGCGGUAAUUCCAGCUCCAAUAGCGUAUAUUAAAGUUGUUGCAGUUAAAAAGCUCGUAGUUGGAUUUCAAGGGACGCAGCGUGGAAACACGUUUGCCCCCUACCAGUCUUUGACUGUUACUGUGAGAAAAUUAGAGUGUUUCAAGCAGGCUGUUGCAGGAAUACAUUAGCAUGGAAUAACGAGUGUGUCUAGAAUCUUGGUUAAUUCUAGAUUACGAUUAAUAGGGACAGUUGGGGGCAUUAGUAUUUAAUUGUCAGAGGUGAAAUUCUUGGAUUUGUUAAAGACUAACGUAUGCGAAAG